rnacentral:tRNA from 1 species
AGGACCGUAGUUAAGUAUAACAUUUGAUUUGCAUUCAAAAAGUAUUGAAAAUAUUCAAUCUGUCUUA